rnacentral:rRNA from 1 species
AACGAACGCUGGCGGCAGGCCUAACACAUGCAAGUCGAACGCACCGCAAGGUGAGUGGCGCACGGGUGAGUAACGCGUGGGAACAUACCCUUUUCUACGGAAUAGCUCUGGGAAACUGGAAUUAAUACCGUAUACGCCCUACGGGGGAAAGAUUUAUCGGGGAAGGAUUGGCCCGCGUUGGAUUAGCUAGUUGGUGGGGUAAAGGCCUACCAAGGCGACGAUCCAUAGCUGGUCUGAGAGGAUGAUCAGCCACAUUGGGACUGAGACACGGCCCAAACUCCUACGGGAGGCAGCAGUGGGGAAUAUUGGACAAUGGGCGCAAGCCUGAUCCAGCCAUGCCGCGUGAGUGAUGAAGGCCUUAGGGUUGUAAAGCUCUUUCACCGAUGAAGAUAAUGACGGUAGUCGGAGAAGAAGCCCCGGCUAACUUCGUGCCAGCCGCCGCAGUAAAAC